UGGCUCAGAUUGAACGCUGGCGGCAGGCCUAACACAUGCAAGUCGAGCGGUAGCACAGAGAGCUUGCUCUCGGGUGACGAGCGGCGGACGGGUGAGUAAUGUCUGGGAAACUGCCUGAUGGAGGGGGAUAACUACUGGAAACGGUAGCUAAUACCGCAUAAUGUCGCAAGACCAAAGUGGGGGACCUUCGGGCCUCAUGCCAUCAGAUGUGCCCAGAUGGGAUUAGCUAGUAGGUGGGGUAACGGCUCACCUAGGCGACGAUCCCUAGCUGGUCUGAGAGGAUGACCAGCCACACUGGAACUGAGACACGGUCCAGACUCCUACGGGAGGCAGCAGUGGGGAAUAUUGCACAAUGGGCGCAAGCCUGAUGCAGCCAUGCCGCGUGUGUGAAGAAGGCCUUCGGGUUGUAAAGCACUUUCAGCGGGGAGGAAGGCGUUAAGGUUAAUAACCUUGUCGAUUGACGUUACCCGCAGAAGAAGCACCGGCUAACUCCGUGCCAGCAGCCGCGGUAAUACGGAGGGUGCAAGCGUUAAUCGGAAUUACUGGGCGUAAAGCGCACGCAGGCGGUCUGUCAAGUCGGAUGUGAAAUCCCCGGGCUCAACCUGGGAACUGCAUUCGAAACUGGCAGGCUAGAGUCUUGUAGAGGGGGGUAGAAUUCCAGGUGUAGCGGUGAAAUGCGUAGAGAUCUGGAGGAAUACCGGUGGCGAAGGCGGCCCCCUGGACAAAGACUGACGCUCAGGUGCGAAAGCGUGGGGAGCAAACAGGAUUAGAUACCCUGGUAGUCCACGCCGUAAACGAUGUCGAUUUGGAGGUUGUGCCCUUGAGGCGUGGCUUCCGGAGCUAACGCGUUAAAUCGACCGCCUGGGGAGUACGGCCGCAAGGUUAAAACUCAAAUGAAUUGACGGGGGCCCGCACAAGCGGUGGAGCAUGUGGUUUAAUUCGAUGCAACGCGAAGAACCUUACCUGGUCUUGACAUCCACAGAACUUACCAGAGAUGCAUUGGUGCCUUCGGGAACUGUGAGACAGGUGCUGCAUGGCUGUCGUCAGCUCGUGUUGUGAAAUGUUGGGUUAAGUCCCGCAACGAGCGCAACCCUUAUCCUUUGUUGCCAGCGGUCCGGCCGGGAACUCAAAGGAGACUGCCAGUGAUAAACUGGAGGAAGGUGGGGAUGACGUCAAGUCAUCAUGGCCCUUACGACCAGGGCUACACACGUGCUACAAUGGCAUAUACAAAGAGAAGCGACCUCGCGAGAGCAAGCGGACCUCAUAAAGUAUGUCGUAGUCCGGAUUGGAGUCUGCAACUCGACUCCAUGAAGUCGGAAUCGCUAGUAAUCGUAGAUCAGAAUGCUACGGUGAAUACGUUCCCGGGCCUUGUACACACCGCCCGUCACACCAUGGGGAGUGGGUUGCAAAAGAAGUAGGUAGCUUAACCUUCGGGAGGGCGCUUACCACUUUGUGAUUCAUGACUGG
rnacentral:rRNA from 1 species